rnacentral:rRNA from 1 species
GACAGAGGGUGCAAACGUUGCUCGGAAUACUGGGCGUAAAGCGCGUGUAGGUGGAUUGGUGUGUCAGAUGUGAAAUCCCUGGGCUCAACCCAGGAACUGCACCUGAAACUACCAGUCUUGAGUGGUGGAGAGGGAAGUGGAAUUCCUGGUGUAGAGGUGAAAUUCGUAGAUAUCAGGAGGAACACCAGUGGCGAAGGCGGCUUCCUGGACACCAACUGACGCUGAGACGCGAAAGCGUGGGGAGCAAACAGG